AGCGAACGCUGGCGGCAGGCUUAACACAUGCAAGUCGAGCGCCCCGCAAGGGGAGCGGCAGACGGGUGAGUAACACGUGGGAACGUGCCUUUUGGUUCGGAACAACCCAGGGAAACUUGGGCUAAUACCGGAUAAGCCCUUACGGGGAAAGAUUUAUCGCCAAAAGAUCGGCCCGCGUCUGAUUAGCUAGUUGGUGGGGUAAUGGCCCACCAAGGCUACGAUCAGUAGCUGGUCUGAGAGGAUGAUCAGCCACAUUGGGACUGGGACACGGCCCAAACUCCUACGGGAGGCAGCAGUGGGGAAUAUUGGACAAUGGGGGCAACCCUGAUCCAGCCAUGCUGCGUGAGUGAUGAAGGCCUUAGGGUUGUAAAGCUCUUUUAGCAGGGAAGAUAAUGACGGUACCUGCAGAAAAAGCCCCGGCUAACUUCGUGCCAGCCGCCGCCGUAAAAC
rnacentral:rRNA from 1 species